rnacentral:lncRNA from 1 species
AUGAUAAUUCUAUCAUUCAGAGAGAACAUCAGACAGAUGGCACCUACAAUGUCAAUCAUAAAUAAUGGACCCAUUAUCACUCACCUUAAUGGGAGGCUAUGAUCUAGUUAUCACCAUAACUAGCUCAUUUUAAGGACCUAAUAAUUUAGAAAAUUUAAUCGAUUUAGAGAAGAGAGAAGAGAAGAAAAGAUCAAUUUGUAGACUAUAAUCCUUUCACUAACUUCACCAAGUC